rfam:Neolentinus lepideus HHB14362 ss-1 unplaced genomic scaffold NEOLEscaffold_3, whole genome shotgun sequence.
GGCAGACUAGCGUAAUGGUUAACGCGCCAGUUUCCGGUUAUUUCGUAGCUGGAGAUUCUGGGUUCGAGUCCCAGGUUUGUCG